rnacentral:rRNA from 1 species
UCAGAUUGAACGCGGCGGCAUGCUUACACAUGCAAGUCGAACGGUAACAGGGUGCUUGCACCGCUGACGAGUGGCGAACGGGUGAGUAUGCGUCGGAAUGUACCGUGUAAUGGGGGAUAGCUCGGCGAAAGCCGGAUUAAUACCGCAUACGCCCUGAGGGGGAAAGCGGGGGAUCGAAAGACCUCGCGUUAUACGAGCAGCCGACGUCUGAUAGCUAGUUGGUGAGGUAAGAGCUCACCAAGGCGACGAUCAGUAGCGGGUCUGAGAGGAUGAUCCGCCACACUGGGACUGAGACACGGCCCAGACUCCUACGGGAGGCAGCAGUGGGGAAUUUUGGACAAUGGGGGCAACCCUGAUCCAGCCAUGCCGCGUGUCUGAAGAAGGCCUUCGGGUUGUAAAGGACUUUUGUCAGGGAGGAAAUCCCGCUGGUUAAUACCCGGCGGGGAUGACAGUACCUGAAGAAUAAGCACCGGCUAACUACGUGCCAGCAGCCGCGGUAAUACGUAGGGUGCGAGCGUUAAUCGGAAUUACUGGGCGUAAAGCGUGCGCAGGCGGUUGUGCAAGUCUGAUGUGAAAGCCCCGGGCUUAACCUGGGAACGGCAUUGGAGACUGCACAGCUAGAGUGCGUCAGAGGGGGGUAGAAUUCCACGUGUAGCAGUGAAAUGCGUAGAGAUGUGGAGGAAUACCGAUGGCGAAGGCAGCCCCCUGGGAUGACACUGACGCUCAUGCACGAAAGCGUGGGGAGCAAACAGGAUUAGAUACCCUGGUAGUCCACGCCCUAAACGAUGUCAACUAGCUGUUGGGGGUUUGAAUCCUUGGUAGCGUAGCUAACGCGUGAAGUUGACCGCCUGGGGAGUACGGCCGCAAGGUUAAAACUCAAAGGAAUUGACGGGGACCCGCACAAGCGGUGGAUGAUGUGGAUUAAUUCGAUGCAACGCGAAAAACCUUACCUGCUCUUGACAUGUACGGAACUUGCCAGAGAUGGCUUGGUGCCCGAAAGGGAGCCGUAA